GAUCCAAGUUUCUGGCCUACACUGUCAUUUUUCUUCUCUCUGAAGAAACAUUUCUUUCAAAGCAGAUCUUCUGCCGACAAAAUCCCUCAGUUUUUGUUGAUCAGGUGGCAUUUCAGAGGACAUCUUUAGCAGUAUGGACAUUUAUCUGACCUCUCACAAAGGAGAUGUGAUAAUAGACUGUGUCUUGAGUCUCAGAAACACAGACUGGGAGUGAAUUCAGGCUCUGAAGAUUAAGAGAAGUAUCCUAAAUUAGGGGAAAAGAAGAAAGCCCAGGGUGAAACAAAGAGAACUAAGUGGGUACACCGUUGAGAAAGAGGCCCUGCAUACUGUAGAUGAAUCCUUCACUAAUCAACACCCUGCUGAGAUCUUCCAUGUGGCAGAGAACCUGGCUGCUGGAAGCUGCCGCUCACAGCCACACUUAUUCACCACCAUAGGAGGGGAAAAUGCUGCUGAACCCUUUGACGCCCACCCCUUGAUCCUCCCGACCCAGCUUCUGUUUGAAAAGCUUCAGAGAUCAAUGUUCACUACCCUUCUAUUGGUGUUCCCACCCCAUAGAACUGUGACAUACUAUGACAAAUCCUCCUUGGGUUUAAGUCCCUAUGGACCUUAAUGGAAAGUGGCCAGUAUUUCUGAUAGCCUUGGUGAUUGGCACACACAUACUACAAAUGAAUUUUCACAUAGCACAAAGCCAUGUGCAAGGUGGCCUCUGAAGCCAGGAUGCUGUAGCAGAUCCAUGUGCUUGGAAUCCGAGGGGCAGCAGUUCGCCACCAAAGGAAAUACUGUGACCAGAGGAAGAGAAAAGGGGGAGCUGGCUGGUAAAAUAGUAAGUCUCCCCCACAGUCUGUACUGGGUAGCUAUCUAGUAGGAGGACCACACUAAUAAAGGUUUCCUGGGGAUGCCUGGGUGGCUUAGUCUGUUGAGCAUCCGACUCUUGAUUUUGGCUCAGGUCAUGAUCCCCGGGCAUGGGAUUGAGUCCUGCAUUGGGCUCUGCACUGAGCUUGGAGCCUGCUUGUGAUUCUCACUCUCCCUCUCUCUGCCCUGCUCCCCCACCUUCUCUAAAAUUUAAAAAAGAAAAAAAUUAAGGUUUCUUAAUGUCACAUCGAUAUGAUGAAGGUAAGUAAAAUAAUUAAUAAGAUACUGUGUCUUUUAUGGCCCAUUGGUUCAGAACUAGAAACUGGGCUCUGAAACAGAAUAGAACAAAACAACAGUGACAACAAAAACACUUAGCCUUUUCAUUGUAAAUGUGUAUAAACUCUGUAGCAGUUCAACGAUGAGAUUUGGCUUAUAGGCCAUGAAUGGGCCUGGUGGUUUUUGCGCUCAAAUCUCAUUAUAUGCCUGCAGAGAACAAAGUGCUUUGUGCUAUGUGAAAAUUAGUUUAUAGUAUGUGUGUACCAAUCAUCAGGAUUAUCAGAAAUACUGGCCACUUUUCUUUAAGGUCCGUAGGGACUUAAAUCUGAAAUGCAUUUCUAUGAAAACUUCAUUUCGCUGCAUAAUUCUGAAAUGAUUCUAGCCAACUGUUUAUUCAUAGCAGCCUUUUCAGGCAAUAGUCUAGGAGUAAUUUCUCUGCAUGUCUUCUUCUCCUUGUCCUUCUUCUUCUUUUUUCUAAAUAGGCUCCACACCCAGUGCAGAGCCCAACAUGGGGCUUGAAU